UGGGGAAUAUUGCACAAUGGGGGAAACCCUGAUGCAGCGACGCCGCGUGGAGGAAGAAGGUCUUCGGAUUGUAAACUCCUGUUGUUGAGGAAGAUAAUGACGGUACUCAACAAGGAAGUGACGGCUAACUACGUGCCAGCAGCCGCGGUAAAACGUAGGUCACAAGCGUUGUCCGGAAUUACUGGGUGUAAAGGGAGCGCAGGCGGGAAGACAAGUUGGAAGUGAAAUCUAUGGGCUCAACCCAUAAACUGCUUUCAAAACUGUUUUUCUUGAGUAGUGCAGAGGUAGGCGGAAUUCCCGGUGUAGCGGUGGAAUGCGUAGAUAUCGGGAGGAACACCAGUGGCGAAGGCGGCCUACUGGGCACCAACUGACGCUGAGGCUCGAAAGUGUGGGUAGCAAACAGGAUUAGAUACCCUGGUAGUCCACACCGUAAACGAUGAUUACUAGGUGUUGGAGGAUUGACCCCUUCAGUGCCGCAGUUAACACAAUAAGUAAUCCACCUGGGGAGUACGACCGCAAGGUUGAAACUCAAAGGAAUUGACGGGGGCCCGCACAAGCAGUGGAGUAUGUGGUUUAAUUCGACGCAACGCGAAGAACCUUACCAAGUCUUGACAUCCCUUGACGAACAUAGAAAUAUGUUUUCUCUUCGGAGCAAGGAGACAGGUGGUGCAUGGUUGUCGUCAGCUCGUGUCGUGAGAUGUUGGGUUAAGUCCCGCAACGAGCGCAACCCUUAUGGUCAGUUACUACGCAAGAGGACUCUGGCCAGACUGCCGUUGACAAAACGGAGGAAGGUGGGGAUGACGUCAAAUCAUCAUGCCCCUUAUGACCAGGGCUACACACGUGCUACAAUGGCGUAAACAGAGGGAAGCAGCCUCGUGAGAGUGAGCAAAUCCCAAAAAUAACGUCUCAGUUCGGAUUGUAGUCUGCAACUCGACUACAUGAAGCUGGAAUCGCUAGUAAUCGCGAAUCAGAAUGUCGCGGUGAAUACGUUCCC
rnacentral:rRNA from 1 species